rnacentral:lncRNA from 1 species
CUGUUAUUGAAGCUUACACAAAAUUGAGCGUGUCGGACUGCAGAAGUCUAUACGCUGUGUAGGUCGGGAGCUUGGCCUUGGCACACUACACACAACACGACAUCGACAACGAUCGUUCGCCUAGCUGCCACUUAUCUCAAACGCACUGAUCACAGCUGUACUUACCUCGAACUUGUUGUCGCCGGUUCACUAAAAUUGUUCCAAUAUCUGGAAAUAUCCUCAUGGAUCAGAUCACAGAAAGUACUGUCACUGCCAGAUAGAUAUCUUCCGUCCAAAAAGUGCGCCAGUUUGAGUUGUCUUCAAAUGUUGAUGUAGUCUAAAUUCUGUUCUUGCCGCUCGAUCUCAUCUGGUAUAUUGAGUUCAUCACUUGGAUGAUGAUCAUCGGAUUUCAGUUAGUGAUGAACACUUAAUGGACUGGAGUAUGAAAAUCUCACAGUGGCGUUGACUCUGCAUGAAUAAUCCAGCCACUAGGUGUACGAGCACGGCGGCUAUCAUGGCCAUGGCGAAUGAUAUGGGCUUGCUCGCCUUCGUCUUCCUAUCCGUUGUCGUGAGCUGUAUCGCGGCGUGCAAGUGUGUGGAUCCUCCGUCGGUGUGCACGGGGAAUUUCGCUAUUCGAGGAAGAAUCACAAAUUUAUCAGGGAACCAAACCGAACACGAUGACAUCACCUACACAGUGGAUGUAUUGGAAGUAUUACGUCAUCCUUCAUCUCGAAAUGCCCAGCAACCCAUAGCUAACUUAUCAUCUGUCCGCAUCAUGACGGGUAGUCAUUCGUGUGGAUACCCCGGUCUAGAGACGGGAGGAAUAUAUUUUAUAGCUGGCGACUUUAAUGCACCAUCAUCCUACGAGCUAGCGAAAUGCGGUGGUAUGGUCAGCCGUUACAAUGAACACAGGGAACUCCCCUAUACGGCCGAUACAUCGACGUGUUCGGCUUGCACGGCCAUCGUUUCGUCAAUAAUCUUUGUCUUCUGUGUAUCGAUUUCUCUGGCUUUUAAAUAAUGAUAUACCUCGUAAUUUUUUGUUUACGUUGAUCAAAAAGUGUGUUUCAGGGAUUUGAAUAAAGACGAGAAUAUACAUGGGCGUCGCUAGAGGGAGGUGUGGCCCCCUCCCCCCUCCCCUCCCCUCCCCCACAUCGAAGUAUUUUUAGGGACUCUACUCACCCCUUUCCGUCUCACACCUCCGUCCAUAUAGAGGAGAUAUGUCAGCCCUUUGAACGCCACUUUUUCAAUUAUUACACAACAUUCAAUGAAAUGAACAUUGUAUAAAAAUUAUGUUCUAACUCUAACUUUACAGAAUUUAAGCGCAAAUUUCAUUUCCAACUAAAUAAUUAUUGUAUGUCCGCGUCAUAACACUUUAAAUUCUUAAAAAGGACUCUCACCCCCCCCCCCCCUCUCACCCCCUCCCCUCUCCUCCCCUCCCGAGGCAAUUUCAUCACAACUGUCGGCAAAUCAUAAUAUCACCAAAUGUCAGCGUUUCCUGUUGUCUGUUGGAUAAUUUUGCUUUACAAACUCAACAAUUAAUAAUGUCCGUCACCUCCCUUUCAAAAAAUAUUAAGCGACGCCCAGUGUGAAUCGUUUUCAAUCAAUCCUUAUUUUGUAAUUGUUAUGAGUAAAGCACCAUUAUGUUUUGACUGUUAAAAAUAUAAAUAUAUAUUUUAUUGAAACAUAAUAUGUAUUUCUUACAUUUUGUGUUACAAAAACCGGUUUUUUAAUAUUUUACCGCACGGUGAAAUGAUAAUAGAUUACUGUUUUUGUAAGUCGUGUCAUUUUCCCAAUGUUACAAAGAAAUACCGUUGCAUAACAUCGAUGCACAAUAAAGGUAUACCUGUCGCUUCUGCAUUUCACGACACAGCUUUUUAAUUGAAGUCAUUCUAACUCAUAAUUUCUUACGUCUUGGUGAAAUCACUGCUGAAAUAUUUUAGAUUGAUAUUUAUUUCGUAAAAUGUCGUGAAUAUGUAAUAAAACUAAAUCUUAAAGGGCAAGUCCACUCAAAAAAUAAUUUACUUUAAAUAGAAGCAGAAAAAUCAGGCCAAUCAAAAAAGGUUUGAGCAAAAUCUGUUUCUCUUGUUUUUCUGCGUCUAUUAAAAGCAAAUUAUUUUUGUUAAUUCAAAUAAUUUUCUCACUAUUUUCAAUCUAUAUAAUUUGAUCGUUAUGAGGUGACCAAUUUACUGUAUAGGAACCAGCCAAGUGUAUUGUUUUAAAAAGGAAUAACACCUCUAUUAUUUAUUCCGCUUUACUAAAUUAUCGAUAUAGGCCAAUUUUAAAUACAGCAACAAACUCCAAACAUGUAGGAUAUACAUCUCAGGAGCUAUAUAUGAACACUACCCUCAAUGUUUCUCCACAAUAUUUUUGAAUUGAUUUGAUGUGGCCACUAUGUCUCUAUAAAAAGAUACCAAAGUUUGGUGUUUAACACAUUACUUUAUCUCAAUGCUUGUGUAAAUUGCAUUGCUCUCCUUUUGUAAAAACAGGAAUUUAAAUUAAUUUGAGAGCUUUCCAGGAAAUGUUCAGGCGCCAGGUAUACAUUUAUGAUAUUCUGCAUUGGUGCUAUUCAACACGCUAUCCUUGUAACAAUUGAAAAUGCUACGUUUUACAAAAAUUAUCAUAACCUUGUUAUUUUAGCUUAGAGCCUUGUAAAAUUCACCCAAACUUUAGAAAAUAUUACGAAAAGAUUGUCUAUGAAGUUUAAUUGAGAAGGAAUGGGCACUUUUUAAGAUGUUGCCAAUCGUUUCAAUCUUUUUUAGACACCCUGUAUUUACAUGUACUUGAUUUAGGUAAAUGUGCAUACAUGUAUAUUGUACUUGAUGUUAAUUUCGCUUGCUCUAGAUAAGCAUUUGUAUAUGUAUGUGAAUAUUUUAUACAAGAAUUUUGCUACCUGUAUAUAAAUAGAAAUUUGGUUUAAUUUACAUUUAAUACAUUUUUGGUCCUUCCUAUAUAUGCGUAUUAAAAAAAAAUCAUAUGACUGUAUCGGAAGUUUUGAGAUCGGAGUUGCAUUUACCAUUCAAACAUUAUGAUGAUGCAGAUUAUGAUAAUAAUAAUAACAACAUUAAUGAUAAUAAUGAUACUAAUUAUAAUAAUGAUGAUAAUAAUAAUAAUAUAACAAUAAUUACCACUAUGCUAAAUGUGCAGUGGGGUAGAGAAUAUAGGCCUAUAUUUAAAAAAAUGUUUCAAAGUACACGAAGAUACUAUUGAAAGGCCGUUUUAUUUUUCACUCACACACAAUUUUGAUUAGUGAAUAUAAAUACAAAUAAAUAAUUUCGUUAAUGUAGUAAACUGCUAAAA